rnacentral:rRNA from 1 species
UACGGAGGGGGCUAGCGUUGUUCGGAAUACUGGGCGUAAAGCGUGCGCAGGCGGUUAUGUAAGACAGGUGUGAAAUCCCCGGGCUUAACCUGGGAACUGCAUUUGUGACUGCAUAGCUAGAGUUCGGAAGAGGGUCGUGGAAUUCCCAGUGUAGAGGUGAAAUUCGUAGAUAUUGGGAGAACACCGGUGGCGAAGGCGGCUCACUGGCUCGUACUGACGCUCAGGCGCGAUAGCCGUGGGGAUCAAACAGG